UAGGGAAUCUUCGGCAAUGGACGACAGUCUGACCGAGCAACGCCGCGUGAGUGAAGAAGGUUUUCGGAUCGUAAAACUCUGUUGUUAGAGAAGAACAAGGACGUUAGUAACUGAACGUCCCCUGACGGUAUCUAACCAGAAAGCCACGGCUAACUACGUGCCAGCAGCCGCGGUAAUACGUAGGUGGCAAGCGUUGUCCGGAUUUAUUGGGCGUAAAGCGAGCGCAGGCGGUUUCUUAAGUCUGAUGUGAAAGCCCCCGGCUCAACCGGGGAGGGUCAUUGGAAACUGGGAGACUUGAGUGCAGAAGAGGAGAGUGGAAUUCCAUGUGUAGCGGUGAAAUGCGUAGAGAUAUGGAGGAACACCAGUGGCGAAGGCGGCUCUCUGGUCUGUAACUGACGCUGAGGCUCGAAAGCGUGGGGAGCAAACAGG
rnacentral:rRNA from 1 species